UAUUUCAACCUAUUUUAAUAUUUAAAAUUUUGGAUUGAGUGUGACCUCUUUAACAAGUUGUUGGCUAUUUAUUAACGAUUAAAAUAGGUCAAAUUUUUUAUCUCGUGAUAACAGGUUCAGAAGAUCAAUAAGUGGAGUGAAGUUACGGUCCAUAAUAGACCUAAUGAUAAAAGACCUAACAACAAAUCUAAUAUUCAGAUGGAUUGAACCAGAUCGAAUCCCGUGAAUUGCUGUGGUUGAGCCCUUAAGUGCGAUGGGUACAUUAUUUCUAUAACACUUGCUUUUGGAAUAGUUAGUUAGUGUUUACGAUUCACACCGGUCUAUAGUAAUUUAGGUUGAUCUCGAGGUAAAAAUAGUCAAAAAUUAUUAUUUUUU
rnacentral:lncRNA from 1 species